rnacentral:rRNA from 1 species
AAGUUGUUGUGGUUAAAAAGCUCGUAGUUGGAUCUCGGCGGACUGAGGGCGGUUUGCUUGCUAGUAUUACUGCCCUAUAGUCCGUAGUUUUGCCAGAGGUUCCGGGGUGCUCUUAAUCGAGUGUCCCGGGAUGCUGGCAGGUUUACUUUGAAAAAAUUAGAGUGCUCAAAGCAGGCUAUUACGCCUGAAUAUUCGUGCAUGGAAUAAUAGAAUAGGAAGUCGUUUCUAUUUUGUUGGUUUUCGGAAAUCGACUUAAUGAUUAAUAGGGACAGUCGGGGGCAUUUGUAUUCAAACGACAGAGGUGAAAUUCUUGGACCGUUUGAAGACAAACUACUGCGAAAGCAUUUGCCAAGAAUGUUUUCAUUAAUCAAGAACGAAAGUUAAAGGUUCGAAGGCGAUUAGAUACCGCCCUAGUUUUAACCAUAAACGAUGCCAGCUAGCGAUCUGCGGACGUUUUUUUUGUAGACUCCGCAGGAAGCUUCCGGGAAACCAAAGCAUUUGGGUUCCAGGGGAA